ensembl:scaRNA
UUGGUCUGAGCACUAGCUGCUGUGUUGUCUUAUCCUAUAUGGAGUAGGCUCUGUAUGCUGCAGCAUGUUCCUGACCUAGAUUACUAUAAGGUGGACCUAAAGAUGGCUGCCUUUGCAGCAGCAGGUGUGGGCAUUCAGUCAGCUUCCAUGUGCCCAUGUAUAAUGCUGCAAACAUUU